CCUACGGGAGGCAGCAGUAGGGAAUCUUGCUCAAUGGGGGAAACCCUGAAGCAGCAAAGCCGCGUGGAGGAUGAAGGUUCUAGGAUUUUAAACUCUUUUUGUUAGCGAAGUUAAUGACGGUAUCUAACGAUUUAUCACCGGCUAACGCCGUUCCAGCAGCCGCGGUACUGCGGAGGGUGCCAGCGUUAUGCGGAAUCACUGGGCGUAAGGGGCGCGUAGGCGGGAUAGCAAGUCAGAUGUGAAAUCUUAUGGCUUAACCAUAGAACUGCAUUUGAAACUGUUAUUCUAGAGUAGAGGAGAGGUAGGUGGAAUUCGUGGUGUAGGGGUAAAAUCCUUAGAGAUCAAGAGGAACACUGAUUGCGAAGGCGACCUGCUAGAAUACCACUGACGCUGAUGCGCGAAAGCGUGGGUAGCAAACAGGAUUAGAUACCCGAGUAGUC
rnacentral:rRNA from 1 species